rnacentral:rRNA from 1 species
AUUGAACGCUGGCGGCAGGCUUAACACAUGCAAGUCGAGCGGAGAUGAGGUGCUUGCACCUUAUCUUAGCGGCGGACGGGUGAGUAAUGCUUAGGAAUCUGCCUAUUAGUGGGGGACAACAUUCCGAAAGGAAUGCUAAUACCGCAUACAUCCGACGGGAGAAAGCAGGCGAUCUUCGGACCUUGCGCUAAUAGAUGAGCCUAAGGCGGAUUAGCUAGUUGGUGGGGUAAAGGCCUACCAAGGCGACGAUCUGUAGCGGGUCUGAGAGGAUGAUCCGCCACACUGGGACUGAGACACGGCCCAGACUCCUACGGGAGGCAGCAGUGGGGAAUAUUGGACAAUGGGGGGAACCCUGAUCCAGCCAUGCCGCGUGUGUGAAGAAGGCCUUAUGGUUGUAAAGCACUUUAAGCGAGGAGGAGGCUACUGAGACUAAUACUCUUGGAUAGUGGACGUUACUCGCAGAAUAAGCACCGGCUAACUCUGUGCCAGCCGCCGCCGUAACAC